UUUCCUGGUUGUUGCUACUGGCUUAGUGACUUUCUUUAUCCACUUUUAUCCCAUCUGUAAUACCUGUAGAAUGCGACCACGACAGCCUCUGCUGAGUUAGCUUCGUAGUCAGCUAGUGACCAGACAGAGACUUCCUUAAAGACCUGAACAAUAAGGCUCAGUGGGCUGCUGCAGCAGGUCCCGGACACUCAGCCAGGCACCUUUCAGUUCUGCCUUAGCCUUCACGUAGUGCUCGUACAGAGCCUCAAGGUCAGCCAGAGGUGAAAGCCUAGGAUCUCCAAGUCUUCCCUACGUGUGGGCACAGGAUACAUGUGGCCUUUGAGACGCCCGGGAAGAUGCUAGAGCUUUGCCGAGGUCCCACGGACAUCUCGCUCUCUCAUCGUCCCUUCACGGGUCUGCCUCUUUUAUGCCCCGACUGGAGCUGCUGCACCAGGCAGCUGUGGUGUUAACCAGCUGCCAAUCAUGGUUAUUAUUGUCAUCAGUUUUGGACAAAUACCCUCAGGUACAGCUUUCUUUACUGAGUGACCUGAGUCAGGUCAAAUAGAGACAAACCCCGUGAAUAGGGCUUUUCAAGGAACUGCACUGCGGGUCAAACAGUGCCAGUUCUUCAGGCUGCCGGUGUUCAGCCACUAUGGUUGGAAGCUGUGGGUUUUCCAGGCUCAUGCAUGAGCUGGGGAGAGGGCUGAGAGGAACAGGACGAUUACAUGCCAUGAAGCUCGCCGUUCUUACUGAAAUACAGCUGUUUUUCUUCAGUGCUCCCUGGAUGCUGCAAGUCCUUGUUUUCAGAGUUCUGCGAAGUUGGCACUGACCACUUUCCCCGUGUGCCUGCGGCAGUUAUGAAGCAGUGGAACUUCAGAGUCCCUUCCUCCACGACCCUGGACAACCCACUGCAACAACCUGACAGUCAAGUCAGGCUCACGCUCUACCACGGGGCUUGGAUUCUGUGUUUCUUCUAGAUUAGCACUCGAUCCAGGAACCCGGGAUUCACGUUUUCAGUGCACCAAAGGGGUGCACUGACCACCCAGGAUCCAUCAAAACUCCGAGGCCUAAGAAUCAGUCAGAUGGGAAUGUCACUGAGGAAAAGCGCCGAGAGUCUUCCCAUCACUGAUCUUUUUUUGGGUGGUGGUUGGAAGAGCAGGGGGGGACAAACACAUCUGUGGUUCAAAAUACGUAUUUUAAAACUUAAUAAAACACAAUAGUAUCUUUUAGAAUUAGGCAUCAUUUGGAGUUCCCGUUGUGGUGCAGUGGUUAACGAAUCUGACUGGGAACCAUGAGGUUUCAGGUUCGGUCCCUGGCCUUGCUCAGUGGGUUAAGGAUCCGGUGUUGCCCUGAGCUGUGGGGUAGGUUACAGACGCGGCCUGGAUCCUGCGUUGCUGUGGCUCUGGCGCAGGCCAGCGGCUACCGCUCCCGUUAGACUCCUAGCCUGGGAACCUCCACAUGCCGCGAGAGCGGCCACAGAAAAGGCAAAAAGACCAAAAAAAAAAAAAAAAAUUAGGCGUAAUUUUAACAUUACUAAGUCUGUGCUGUCUAAGACUUUCAGCUACUGGCUGACAGUGCUCCUGGGAGGAGGAAACCAUCCCUC
ensembl:lncRNA